GCGCGGGUGGCGAAAUUGGUAGACGCGCCAGCUUGAGGGGCUGGUGACCACAAGGUCGUGGAGGUUCAACUCCUCUCCCGCGCA
rnacentral:tRNA from 1 species